UACGAAGGGGGCUAGCGUUGUUCGGAAUUACUGGGCGUAAAGCGCGCGCAGGCGGCUAUCCAAGUCAGUGGUGAAAGCCCGGAGCUCAACUCCGGAACUGCCAUUGAAACUGCCUUUCUUGAGUGCCGGAGAGGAAAGCGGAAUUCCUGGUGUAGAGGUGAAAUUCGUAGAUAUCAGGAGGAACACCAGUGGCGAAGGCGGCUUUCUGGACGGUAACUGACGCUGAGACGCGAAAGCGUGGGGAGCAAACAGG
rnacentral:rRNA from 1 species